rnacentral:rRNA from 1 species
UAGGGAAUAUUGGUCAAUGGGUGAGAGCCUGAACCAGCCAUGCCGCGUGCAGGAAGAAGGCCUUCUGGGUUGUAAACUGCUUUUGCCAGGGGAUAAAGGACCCAUGCGUGGGGAGCUGAAGGUACCUGGUGAAUGAGCCACGGCUAACUACGUGCCAGCAGCCGCGGUAAUACGUAGGUGGCGAGCGUUGUCCGGAUUUAUUGGGUUUAAAGGGUGCGUAGGCGGCCUUGUAAGUCAGUGCUGAAAUACCCCGGCUUAACCGGGGGGGUGGCAUUGAUACUGCAGGGCUUGAGUACAGACGAGGUAGGCGGAAUUGACGGUGUAGCGGUGAAAUGCAUAGAUAUCGUCAAGAACACCUAUAGCGAAGGCAGCUUACUAGGCUGUAACUGACGCUGAGGCACGAAAGUGUGGGGAUCAAACAGGAUUAGAUACCCUGGUAGUCCACACUGUAAACGUUGAUGACUCGCUGUUUGCGAUAUACAGCAA